rnacentral:rRNA from 1 species
AUGCAGGGUAAGGAGGUAAAAGUCGCGGGUGGUCAGGGCUGCCAGAUAUGUGGUGACACUGUUGACGUUUCGGCCACCGGCGAUGUCUUUGUCGCCUGCAAUGAGUGCGCCUUCCCGGUCUGCCGCCCUUGCUAUGAGUACGAACGCAAGGAUGGGGUCAAAUGUUGUCCUCAGUGCAAGACUAGAUACAAGAGGCCGAAAGGUAGCCCCCGAGUUCCGGGAGAUGAGGAGGAAGAAGAUGUUGAUGACCUGGACAAUGAGUUCAACUACAAGCAAGGGAAUGGCAAAGGUCCAGAGUGGCAGCUGCAGGGUCAAGGAGAAGACAUUGAUUUGUCUUCAUCCUCUCGUCAUGAACCUAAUCAUCGUAUUCCUCGUCUGACAAGUGGACAACAGGGAAAUCCCUGA